UGGGGAAUUUUGCACAAUGGGGGAAACCCUGAUGCAGCGACGCCGCGUGAUUUAGAAGGCCUUCGGGUUGUAAAAAUCUUUUUUACAGGAUGAAAAUGACAGUACCGUAAGAAUAAGGUCCGGCUAAAUACGUGCCAGCAGCCGCGGUAAUACGUAUGGACCGAGCGUUGUCCGGAAUCAUUGGGCGUAAAGGGUACGUAGGCGGCCUAGUAAGUUAGAAGUGAAAUAAUAUAGCUCAACUAUAUAAAGCUUUUAAAACUGCUAGGCUUGAGAGAUGGAAGGGAAGGUGGAAUUCCUAGUGUAGCGGUGAAAUGCGCAGAUAUUAGGAAGAAUACCGGUGGCGAAGGCGACUUUCUGGUCAUCAUCUGACGCUGAGGUACGAAAGCGUGGGUAGCAAACAGG
rnacentral:rRNA from 1 species